GAGAGAGGCCCGACGGCAGUAAAGACUGCUAAUCUUUCCCAACCAAGGUUAGACCCCUUGGCUCCCUCG
rnacentral:tRNA from 1 species